rnacentral:rRNA from 1 species
UGGCUCAGAAUGAACGUUGGCGGCGUGGAUUAGGCAUGCAAGUCGAGCGGCAAGGUUCCUUCGGGAGCCCUAGAGCGGCGAAAGGGAUAGGACAAUAUGGAUACGUGCCUCUUAGCUCAGGAUAGCGGCUGGAAACGGCCGAUAAUACUGAAUGACGUAUUAGUACGAAAGGUGAGAUUCCGCUAGGAGAUCGGUCCAUAGCCUAUUAGCUAGUUGGUAGGGUAACGGCCUACCAAGGCGAAGAUGGGUACGGGAGCGUGAGAGCGCGACCCCGAUCACUGGGACUGAGACACUGCCCAGACGCCUACGGGCGGCUGCAGUCGAGAAUCUUCGGCAAUGGACGAAAGUCUGACCGAGCGACGCCGCGUGUAUGAUGAAGGCCUUCGGGUUGUAAAGUACUGUCGAUUGGGCGGAAGUUAGAGGGGGUUCUCCCUUUCUUUUGACCUAUCAUUUGAGGAAGGACGGGCUAAGUUCGUGCCAGCAGCCGCGGUAAGACGAACUGUUCGAACGUUAUUCGGAAUCACUGGGCUUAAAGGGCAUGUAGGUUGUAUACUAAGCGGGGUCUGAAAUCCCACGGCUCAACCGUGGAACUGGGCUUCGAACUGGUAAACUAGAGUGAAGUAGAGGUAAGCGGAACUUGGGGUGAAGUAGUGAAAUGCAUAGAUAUNCCCAGGGAACACCGGUGGCGAAAAGCCGCUUACUUGGCUUCAACUGACACUCAAGUGCCGAAAGCUAGGGAUAGCCGAAAGGGAUUAGAUACCCCCUGUAGUGCCUAACCGUAAACCCCUGAGCCCCUUGUUCCAGGGAAGAUUAGUCCUUUGUCGAGCGU